UACGUAGGGUGCAAGCGUUAUCCGGAAUUAUUGGGCGUAAAGAGCUCGUAGGCGGUUUGUCGCGUCUGCUGUGAAAACUCAGGGCUUAACUCUGAGCUUGCAGUGGGUACGGGCAGACUUGAGUGCGGUAGGGGAGACUGGAAUUCCUGGUGUAGCGGUGAAAUGCGCAGAUAUCAGGAGGAACACCGGUGGCGAAGGCGGGUCUCUGGGCAGUAACUGACGCUGAGGAGCGAAAGCGUGGGGAGCGAACAGG
rnacentral:rRNA from 1 species